UCAGGUAGAUCAUAUAUAAAUUUAUUGGCAAUAUCGUUGAAAAAAAGGGGUGCCCUCCUUAUCCUAGCUCUAAGAUAUCUUAUGGUGGUGUUUGGACCUUCAUUGGAAUUCUGGUCAAUAUUGCCCCCGAAAAUAGUCUAUAGGGUUCAACUCCGGCGAGUUAGGAGAGCAAGAACUCGGCAGGACGUACAUCACAUUCUCAGAUUAAAGAAAAUCGAGUGUUCUCUUGCUGUUGUGUCAGGAUAGCCCGUCUUAUAGUGUGCUCCAAUGUUGGUCUUUAAUGAUACUGCAGAUUCAGCAAAAUUACUUCGGUGGCCAGGCACUGCUGGAAGAUGAAGGGAGCCAUUAUUUGACCUUCACUGCUAACAACGUCAAGAACUAUAGCUUGCUGUGGUAACUUAGCUUUCAUGAUCCUAUGGGCGUUGUAAUGAUUUUUUUCUAACCAUCUAUUGUUCGUAAAGUUAUGCUUCUGGGUUUUACUUAUUUUUUCCUCAUUUGAAAAGAACCAGACUAGAUCUUUCACAGGAAGCUUUUGUUUUAGCAUGAGAAAUUCCUUGGUUCGGGUGACACUUUUCCUCCAUAUUUGACAAGGUUAGAAGCUGUUCCUUGCGACGUGCUAUGGUACCAUAGGUCUGCAUUGAUGCCACGAUGGGCCAGGGAUGGGAAAGUUCACUUAUAUUUUGAAAAAGUUAAGUUAUAGUUAAUUAUUAUUUUAUUCUUUCAUAACUCGUUGAGUUAAAGUAUAUUUCGAUUAAUAUACCAAUUAAAUAAAUAAGUUAAAACUAAUUUUGAGUUUAAUUUUUUGAACUAGUUUCGUUUAGGUUAAUUAACCCUAGAGUAAUUUCACUUUAAUUAACUUAUCCAACCAUGGUUUAGUUAAAGUUAAAUGCAAUAUAUAAAAAAAAUAACAAAAUAAGUUGAAGUCAAUUGAGAGAUUAAUCAAUGUUUAAUAAUAAAAAUUCUUCUGUUGGCCUGUCUGUCUGGGAUUUUUUGCAGAAAAUAAAAAUUUCAUUCUGCAUACAAUAAUAAGGAAUUAACUUCGCUAGAGGAAUAUAACGUUGGAGUAAGAGGUGAGGGAUCUCGACUUUUUCUAGAUAUUCGUAAAAUCAGCACUUUGGAAGAUCAUAAAAAUAAUGGAAGGUCUUAUUAUGUGGAAGAGGUCUUUUAUGGAGUAUUUGGAGGGGGAUAGGAAUUCGAGUUGAUCUGUGUACUGAGGGAGGAUGUUGGAGGAAAUCAUAUCUCUUUGAAUAAUGAUCUGUAGUUUGAAGAAUAUGAUGUGAAUGAAUACUUUACUCAUCUUUAUAUGAAGAAGUCAUUUUUGUCCUGUAUGUGAUAUUUUCCUGUCAAAAAUGGUAUGAAUGAAUGGUUCCCAAUGGCAAAAUAAAAAUGAACGUAGGAAUAAUACAAACAUCAUCGUAAAAAUAACAAGAUAUGCCAUAACCCAUUUGAAGAAUAUAGGGCUAGAAUUGAACAACCCUGGAUAAGACUGACUACAUUGGGUUAUUUAUAUUAACACGAGUCUAUGGAUCUUAUGGUCAAAUUACCCCAAGUUUUUCGAAUUGAGAAAGUAGUUGGGCCAUUUUUAGGACUACAAUGUUGUUGAAGGACUUCAUGAAAUACUCAAUGAUAUCAAUUUUGCAUCUUCAAAAAAGACUAUAAAACAAGUUUUUUAAGUACAAAAUACAUCUUUAAAGCAAAAAAUAAGAUUGAUAUAUACAUUCUACAACAUGUGUAAGCUAUUUUUAUAGCUUCGUUGUAUAUUUUCAAUUGUUUUUUUUUCAUACUGUUUAUAAAUAAA
rnacentral:lncRNA from 1 species